ensembl:lncRNA
UUUUUACAAACAGUGUUGCAGUGGACGUCUGUAGAUCUGUAUUUAUACAUCUCCAUCACCGCCUGUAGGUCUGCUUGGUAACGUGAAAGAGACGUUCGUCCAGUGCCUGAAAUACCCUUCACAGUGUGUUCCCAUUACAAGGGCUUGGGAAUAGUCACCUGAAGAGCCUGAGCUGAGACCACAUCUUGAAAACACAGAAUUGAGGGAGCAGAUGGAAGAAAGAAAGUCAGCAGGCUUGGAGGAUGAUGAUAACCCAAAGAAGAUUAAGGUGCUGGUGGAGGAGGUGGUUGGCAAAGGAGGUGGAUGACCUGUCCUGACCCACGACCCUGAACCUCAGCCAGAUUGCAGCCUCUCAGAGCCAGUGCUUGGACUCCAUGUUGGCUCCAAGCCCUCAACACUGCCAAAGUCUCCAGAGGAAACAGCUGGUGUCACAGCUACUGACUGUGUCCUGGCCAGCUGGAGAAAUAAAGAGAUUUCAGGUAUACAUCAUUAUAACUUGACUUCUGUAUAUACUACAUCGUGUUCACCACCAAAAGGUUUCCAUUCGCUACCAUACAAAUGGAUGGAUUUUAAAGUCAUUAUGCUACAUGAAGGAACGCAGACAUGAAAGAAUACAGUGAUCUUCUUACCACUUGUUGUGAGCCUAUGAUGCUGAUAGAAUUAAUAU